rnacentral:rRNA from 1 species
AAAGCUCAAAUUUAAAAUCUGGCGGUCUUUGGCCGUCCGAGUUGUAAUCUAGAGAAGUAAUGCCCGUGCUGGACCGUGUAUAAGUCUCCUGGGAUGGGGCGUCAUAGAGGGUGAGAAUCCCGUCUUUGACACGGACUACCAGUGCAUUGUGGUAUGCUCUCAAAGAGUCGAGUUGUUUGGGAAUGCAGCUCAAAAUGGGUGGUAAAUUCCAUCUAAAGCUAAAUAUUGGCGAGAGACCGAUAGCGAA